rnacentral:rRNA from 1 species
GAUGAACGCUGACAGAAUGCUUAACACAUGCAAGUCUUUGGUGAAGCUGUGCUUGCACAGCCUAGCCAAGGCGGACGGGUGAGUAACGCGUAAGGAACUUGCCCUGCAGUCAGGGAUAACAGACGGAAACGACUGAUAAGACCUGGUAAAGUCAGGCGGACUCAUGUCCAGCCUGAUGAAAAGAGAUGCUGCAGGAGAGCCUUGCGUCCUAUUAGCUUGUUGGUGGGGUAACGGCCCACCAAGGCAAUGAUAGGUAGCCGGCCUGAGAGGGUGGACGGCCACAAGGGGACUGAGAUACGGCCCUUACUCCUACGGGAGGCAGCAGUGGGGAAUAUUGGACAAUGGAGGCAACCCUGAUCCAGCAAUUCUGUGUGCACGAUGAAGGUUUUCGGAUUGUAAAGUGCUUUCAGCAGGGAAGAAAAAAAUGACGGUACCUGCAGAAGAAGCGACGGCUAAAUACGUG